UCCCCGGUAGCUCAACGGCAGAGCAGGAAGCUGUUAACUUCAAGGUUGCUGGUUCGAAUCCAGCCCGGGGAGCCA
rnacentral:tRNA from 1 species